CAAACUUAUUAGAUUUUUGACCUUCUGUUUCGCGUUUAUUUCACUUAUUAGAUGAUAUCGGUUUAUAACACUUUUACUUAUUUUUUUUUUCAUGCAAAACCAGAAAACAAGCGCCACAAAAACUGUUCACAUUCGAUUCCGACCGUCGACAAUAAACGAAUGACAGUUAUCGCAGUUAUCAAAACAAACACCAACAGCUGAGUUGCCAGGUGUAAAGAUAAUCUAUUUAGAUUCAAAAACUUAUCAAAAGCUCUUCGUUACCUCCUGCCGCAGUGCUUGAAUUAAGCCAGGUUUUUCAUUAGAGAUGUUGAUGGUGCUGCUCCUGAUUUCCUUUGACGGAAUAUCUUUCUCGGCAUAGUCUUGUUUCGUCCCAUUAGAAAGUUGGACCGAUUCCGCGGAUGUUACGAAUGUUUUACUGGAUUCAUGCCUGGUGUCAAUCAAGACCUUUCGGCGAGCCGUCCGGCUUUGAUUUCCCGAGGCGUGAGAAUCGUUGACCUUUCUCACACUGUUGGUAUCAGCUUUCGACGGUAUUGUUCUUCCAAGCCAUGGAUAUGCACGAAACAAUCUGGACCGAAAUGAAGCGAGCAAAUGUACAUGUUUUUAGUAUUGCUGUUUAUGUUCUGUCCGAAAAAUCAAAACCAUUUCAUCCGAAUGGUUACAUCCCUCGGGAAUCGAUGAAAUGAUAGUUUAUGGGAAAU